UGAUAGCGAUGAAGCGUGAGGUUGCCGCGCAGGGCGCGGGUUUUUCCGUGGAGCGAAUGUCAAGUUAGCAAACUGGCGACAA
rnacentral:ncRNA from 1 species